UACGAAGGGGGCUAGCGUUGCUCGGAAUUACUGGGCGUAAAGCGUGCGCAGGCGGUGAUGUAAGACAGGUGUGAAAUCCCCGGGCUUAACCUGGGAACUGCAUUUGUGACUGCAUCGCUGGAGUGCGGCAGAGGGGGAUGGAAUUCCGCGUGUAGCAGUGAAAUGCGUAGAUAUGCGGAGGAACACCGAUGGCGAAGGCAAUCCCCUGGGCCUGCACUGACGCUCAUGCACGAAAGCGUGGGGAGCAAACAGG
rnacentral:rRNA from 1 species